rnacentral:tRNA from 2 species
GCAGCUGUAGCUCAGUUGGUUAGAGCGCCUGGUUGUGGACCAGGAGGUCGGUAGUUCAAGUCUACCCAGCUGUACCA